rnacentral:misc_RNA from 1 species
GAUGAAGAACGUAGUGAAAUGCGAUAAGUAGUGUGAAUUGCAGAAUUCAGUGAAUCAUCGAAUCUUUGAACGCACAUUGCGCCCUGUGGUAUUCCGCAGGGCAUGCCUGUUCGAGCGUCAUUGACACCCUCAAGCUCUGCUUGGUCUUGGGCGUUUGUGCCUGCCGUUGCGCAGGGACUCGCCUCAAACUCAUUGGCAGCCUGCCUUUGCCGGUCUUUGCACAGCACAGUCGUGCCAAAGCCGCGGUGAGCAGGCGCUCCACAAGCCCUUUUCAGCUUGACCUCGGAUCAGGUAGGAAUACCCGCUGAACUUAAGCAUAUCAAUAAGCGGAGA